AUUGAACGCUGGCGGCAGGCCUAACACAUGCAAGUCGAGCGGAUGAAGGGAGCUUGCUCCUGGAUUCAGCGGCGGACGGGUGAGUAAUGCCUAGGAAUCUGCCUGGUAGUGGGGGAUAACGUCCGGAAACGGGCGCUAAUACCGCCUACGUCCUGAGGGUGAAAGUGGGGGAUCUUCGGACCUCACGCUAUCAGAUGAGCCUAGGUCGGAUUAGCUAGUUGGUGGGGUAAAGGCCUACCAAGGCGACGAUCCGUAACUGGUCUGAGAGGGUGAUCAGUCACACUGGAACUGAGACACGGUCCAGACACCUACGGGAGGCAGCGGUGGGGAAUAUUGGCAACUGGGCGAAAGCCUGAUCCAGCCAUGCCGCGUGUGUGAAGAAGGUCUUCGGAUUGUAAAGCACUUUAAGUUGGGAGAAAGGGCAGUAAGUUAAUACCUUGCUGUUUUGACGUUACCAACAGAAUAAGCACCGGCUAACUUCGU
rnacentral:rRNA from 1 species